rnacentral:lncRNA from 1 species
ACGGAAUUUCCGUUAACUUUGUUGUUUCCGUUACAAAUACUAAUGGACUUAUAUAUUGUAACGGAUUUCUAACUAUUUUUAACGGAUAUUCCAUUAAAAAUAGCAAUUAUUUAAUAAUUUUCAUUUCCCCCCCUUUAACUAUUUCAUUCCCCCCUAUUUUAUUUUCCCCAAUAUUUCCCUCAUUUUUUUUUCAUUUUCCCAAUCUCAUUUCCUCCAAUUUCUUUCUCCCAAUCUCCUUCUCAACCACCGGCGUUCUCGAUCAAUUCCCCCAAUCUCGUUCUUCGUAACACUCCAGUCCAGUGCGGCAAGUCCAGGUAAGUGCUAGCUAGUUUAGUCUUUUUGUCGUCCGAGAGUUUCAUCUGAUUGUCUUUGGUGUGCGUGUUUUUUUUAGUGUGAUUUUCUUUUCUUUUACCGUAUUGUAGACUUGCAUCUUUUUUGUUUUUUAAUGAUUUUGGUACUUGUGUCUGGUUUAAGAUGGUUUAAUACUGUAAUGGAUGGUUUAAUCCUAGUACCUCUGAGAUUAGAAACAGCAGUACAAUAAUUAGAGACCACAUCUGUUCUCUGUCCCUUGGCGAUUACUACAUUCAACAAAAAACAUACUAGCCUGCCUUUAACAUCUUUAGGGACAAAUUUAAAGAUUUUAACACCUUUAAAAAUCAAGUAAAGUCUUAAAAACUCUUUAAUGGUGAGUAUCAUGCUUCUUAAAUGCAUAUAUAUGUAACUCUAUACGCAAUUAAUUACUGUUCUGCUUCACAUGGCUUUUUAUAAACAAUAUUCACUGUGUUAUUUGGAGUUUUGAAGUGUACCAUUUAAUCUUGUUAAUUUGCAGGUUUGGCCAACCUAUCAAAGUUAAUUGGGCAUAUGCUAGUGUUCAGAGGGAGGACAAAUCAGGUUCACAUUGUUGUUUAUUUGAAUAAUAUUUACCAGGUAAUUAAUUCAUUGAAGUUAGAUCUUUCUUAAGAACAGUUGUCGUUAUAAUUAGAGACCACUAAAGUCAAUGCUUGUUUUGUUAUUUUAUUUUUUAAAUCCUCAUCUAAAUAUGAGUUAGGGUGUUAGUAGUAGCAUUAUCCACACCACUCACUACCCAAUCCUCAAAACUAGGGCAUUCUGCAUAUUUGUUUGAAUUAUUUACAACAUUCAUUUUCUUGAUCAUUAUCCAAGGUUCAGGGGUUCUAGAUAAGUAUGAACACUAUGUGGUCAAAAAUUUGAUCCUUUGUUAAUAGAGAUGGAUGAUGAUUAUCGGGAUAUGAUUUUAAAUUAGUGUCGAUGUACUCGUCUUGGUCUAUCAGUAUGCAUGUCUGUUUUUUCCCACUCGCCAUCUUCCACUCUCCAUCAUUAAUUAAAUUAGCUCUUUUAGAAGAAGUUGGCGAUGAUGAUUUAUUUUUCGACCGGGCUGUUUUGGUUUAGUUUUUUUUUUAAGCUUUUAAAUUUCUUUUUCAAUUGAUUUAGAGUUGAUUAGUAUGCUUUGGUUUAGUUUUGUUUUGGUUUAGAGUUGAUUUAUCUAAGUAUCUUCCUCAUUUAUCAUUUCUUAUUUUUAUUUUUCUUUCUUGAUCUUUGUAAUCAGGACACUGCUCUUCAUUUUUAUUACUGAAAAAAAUUAAUUGAUUCUUGAUUACUGAAGAAAAUCAGAACACUGCUAUCCAAGAACAAGGUAAAAUUACUAUUUAUAAUUUGAAUAAAAUAAUUUGUAAAAUUUAUUUUAAAUGUUAUGAUUAGAUUUCUGAAUUUGGUCAGUUUAAUUCAUGUCUGUUUUUUUAAUAUUUCUGAUUUUGUUUCAUAGUUUAACAUGUUGAUGUUCACAAGUAGUUUCAUAGUUUUAAUUCAUAAUUUUUUUUAUUACUCGUAAUAGGAUAUUUUAUUUUAUUUUUAUGGAUGAGUUUUUCUUAGAGGAUUUAAAUUAUAUUAAUUGUAGUAUCUUUGAGUUAAAUUAUUCAGAAUAACCUGUUAUAUUAUAUUUAGGCCCUUUUACCUUUAGAAUUAGAAAUGUUGGUUUAAGAGGUAUCUUGAAAUGUUUGGACCUUUUUUAUUUAAAUAUCGAUUUUUAAGAGGUAUCUUUUUUGUAUGUUAGAAGAAAGACCAAAAUGGCUGAUCAAAUAGAAGGGCUUGACAAAUCAUGGUUGUUUGAAAGUUCAACCUCGAUGAAAUUUCAAAGUGGAUUGAAAAGUUUUUUAGAUUUUGCUGAAAUCUAUUCAAACCACAAGAUGGAGCCUGGAUAUUAAAACUACCAUGUCCUUUUUCAAAGUGUCACAAUGGCAAAUAUUAUAAUCGUAAGACCAUUAGUGAGCAUGUCAUACUCUUUAGUCUUGACAAUGCAUAUAGGUAUAAGACAUGGUAUAUGCAUGGAGAAUUAAUUCCAGGUUCGAGAGCACAUAAAAAAGCAUUGAAACGCAAGAGACGUGAAAUAGCAGUUUCUACUGCACCUCCUAUGAUAGUAAAAAAUGAGAUGACCCUUUUAGUAAAUGAAGCAAUGGUUGAUCCAACUAUUGAGGUAUGAAACAAUGGUUGAAACAAACAUCUCAGAGUUUUCGACAAGCAUUCGAGUACAUUGAGGUAUGUUUAUUUUUAUUUUCUGAUUUAGAUUUUUUUUUAGUAGAAUAAUUUUUCAAUUUUUAUUAUAUAGGUUGAUUUUGAUUUAGACGGUUACCCAAAUGCUCAUCAAUACAUCAAAUUCAAACUCAACAAUACUUGGAGGCGUUAUCAAAACUAUAUAAAGGAAAAAUACUUUGAUCCAUUUGUUGAUGAUGAAUCAACUGAAAGGAUGUAUGCUAGUCUUCCUCCAUACAUUGAUCGAUUCACUUUCGAAAAGUGUGUGGAAGAAUUAUGGACUACAGAAGAAUUUAAGGUAUUGUUUUUUAUACAUCCAUACUUCAAUUAUUUACUAUUUUAUAUUGUAAGUUGUAUAACAUUGUAUAUGAAUUCGCAGAGAAAAUCCAAAAUAAACAAAACAAACCGGACUAAGAAGAUACUAAAUCAUAAAACAGGGUCAAUUCCUUUCAGUGCAAUAAGAGAAAAUCUGCAACGCGAAGGCAUUGAGGCAUCACGAAUCAAUGUAUUGAUUCGUUCUUCUGGUACUGACAACGAAGUCGUUGUAAGUCUUAGUUUAUUUUAUAAUGUUCAUAAUUAGUAGUUUAUCGAUCUACUCAUAGCUUAUUACUUAUUUUAUAGAGAAACGUGUCUGAAUAUUACAAAAGUGAUGAAAUUCAAGAAUUACGUCCAACAACGGAUGAAGAUGUAUGUUUUAAAUUAUUUUACUAUUUCAAAUUAUUCAAAUGUUUUAUUUUCUUAUAUAUUAUUUUUCGCUUUUAGUUGAUUCAACAAAAAUGCAUUUCAAAAUUUAUUCAAAGCAAAAAAGGGAGGCACAUUGGACUUGGUGGAGGAUCAUUUGCUGAGUCGAGCACUACUUCUACCAGAUUUUCAAUUGAAAUGAAUGCAAGAUCUAUUGAGAAAGAAAAAGAAAAAGAAAAAGAAAAAGAAAAAGAAAAAGAAAAAGAAAAAGGAAAAGAAAAAAUGAACGAUCAAAUGGAGAAGUUAAUAGAGGUAUGUGUAUGAUAGUCAAUAAAAUUUUAAAGUAAUACAUAAAUAUCAAUGAAUCUUAAAUGUUUUACAGGAUAAUCGAGUUUUAAAAAGGAAAUAUGAUAAAAUGUUUGAUAUGUUUGAAGACCUGUAAAAAACAGUUUUAUCCCAAUCAAAUACAACUCCACAACCUUCAGAUCGUGGAUCGUUACAAGAUAAAAGUAUUAAUGCAGGUCAGAGCGAUCAAAGAUAUCAAACUCCUCCAUCCAAAUAGGUCUUCCAUGUUAUUUUUGUUGAAUGUUAGUUUUCUUGAAUGUUAGUUUUGUUGAAUGUUAGUAUUCUUGAAUGUUAGUUUUGUUGAAUGUUAAUUUUCUUAAAUGUUGAAUGUUGUAUUUGUUGAAUGUUGUUUUUGUAUUGAAUAUUUGUUGAAUAUUGAAUGAAUUUACAGGAAUUAAUAUUAAUUGAAUGAAUUUACAGGAAUUUACAAUGAUUUUAUUGGAUUUUGCAUUCAAUUUACAGGAAAAAUGUAUUUACUGGAAUUCUGAAAUUUUUUUUUACAAAAAAAAAUUUGUAACGGAAUUUCCUUUACAAAUACUUAAAAAUUUUGUAACGGAUUUUUCGUUCCAUUAACUUUAACAUGAGAGUAUUUGUAACGGAUUUUUGUAACGGAUUUAGGUAUUUGUAAUGGAAAUUUUGUAUCGGACCAAAGUCAACGGAAUUUCCGUUACAAAUACUACAAAUACUAUUUUUAACGGAAAUUCCGUUAACUUUGCUCGUCCUAACUGCUUACUUUUUUUAUAGUGAAGCCUUCUGACGUGAAGAGGUUGCGGAAGAUGAAUGCUUCCAAGCUUCCUCGAGGGGCUUCCACUGAACUUGAGGCGGGAGAAAUUCGUAUCCCCGAGAUGAUUCAUCAAGUUCCUAUUUAGCUUCAACUCCUCGAUGCUUCAAGGAAGAGGGCUCCUAUUCUACCUACUUCUGCUUUUCCGACAAAGAGGCCACGUACUCUUGAGAAGGGUUCAACUUCACAACCUCUUAUGUCUACGAAGGAGACCUUUUCGAAACCUUCUUAUCAAUCCACUCACGAUGAACAAAUGCCGGGGCAUGAUUGUUAUCACCCGGUGAAGCAUGGAAGCAAAAUUCCUAUUGUUCCUGAAACUGUUGCGAGUCAGGCUGCUUUAAAAAGGAUUUCUAUGUACGGGUUGGACAAGCUGGUUGAGGAAAUGGCCCAGAAUCUAGCGAACGUAAGAUUUACUUUGACCUUCUCUAUUUAUUCUAUUUUUUCUAACUCCACUUUUUACAGCUUGAUCAUUUGUGGAAGGCGGGAUUUGCCCCUCUGGGCAAUAUCUGGAAUCAUCACCAAAUCCUUAAUGAACUCACCUCCCUAAAGCGGAAAUAAAGCUUUCUGAAGGCAAACCUGCGGAUUAUGCGAAGACCAACACACAUCUUCACAUUCAGAAUGACACCCUUGCUAAAGAUAUUAAAGCUAAAGAUACUUACAUCCAGGAUUUGGAGGAGAAGAAUAGGAAAAUGCAGGUUGAACAUGCCGAAGCCCAGACUGCCAAAACUAAUUUUGAAGUUCAAGCAACCAUUCAAAGGACAGUUGUUGAAUCAAUGGAUACUUCUCUUAAGGCGGCGGAUCAAAAGAUUAUUCAGCUCAAGGGUGAACUUGAUGCUCUGAAGGCUAGUCAGACAUCUGCUGCUGAUAUCCUGAUUAGACACGUUGAGCAGACAGAGGAGCUGAAUAAUCUUCAGAGGGAAAGUGCGGAGACUGAGGACUAUCUUUGAAGUGAUCUUCAGAAGAAUAUCACUUAUUAUAAUAACGUGGUUCAAUUUGGUUCUCAUCUGCAUCCGGAGUUUGAUGCUGAAGAAGACCUCAAGUGGGUUGUGGAUCAUCCGGAUGAGGUUGAGAAACUUUAACUGGAAUAAUUGAUUAAAUAAGUGCCAUAGCAAACACAAGGGUCAUAAUUGUUUCGAUCUGCUACCUUAUCCUAUAUCCAUCGUUUGUUUUUAUUUAUUUAUUUAUUAUCUGUCAAGCU